UUAACAGCCCUAUCGGUUACAUGUAGAUUUAGGUUUCAUGAGACUUGACAUGCACAAAUUUCAAAAGAAAAUUCAAUCUACUAAAACAAAUACCAUACUCUCUACGAGCGACAUGAAAAAUUCCACGGUUACAUGGAAAGAAGGUAAUCUGACCGGUUCAACCCGAAUAAUCGGAGAGGACAUUAAAAGGAUUGAAGCGUAAACCUCACCACCAAUAUAUCUCAGAAAGAGCACCGAAUCCACAACCGCGAGUCACCACUCCAGCCGGUAAAACUACGCAGUCAAAAACCAGCCCUUAUCUUUUUUUCUCCCACACGACACGAACUGCUGGAAACCAGCCAAAGUCAACACUUCCAGAAGUUCCAUUCCUUCCAAUUCAUUUUUUCCGCAAUAAAGACAUGCAAGCCAACAAAGCGAGUGACAAGAAAAGCCCGACAUCCCACGUCCUGGAAUGUCCCAUGAACCUCCAAUCCAAUAUUUCUUUAAGUUUUCUCCGGUCGCACGGUGAACGGGCCCAUGCUCCUCCAAAUUCCACCGUCACAGAGCUGAUCAGAUGACAGCCUACCCUUAGGAUCGCCAAAAAAACUACACAAUAGCAAACUUUUCCCCAAUCUCAUACGACUAAAAUUACUUUUCUGGAGUCAUCACAGAGAGGGGAGAAAAAUCAACCAAAGGCAGUCGUAUCUCUGAAUCUUUUUGAUCAGAUGCCAAAGAGGGAGCCUUUUCCGUUCUAUCAGCGCGUCAGCGACAGCAGCAUUUACCGCGACGUUGAUGGAGUGCGGAAAGCACUCUGCUUUCUUGUUUCUUUCCAAGAAAGGUCGAAUUAUAAUUCUACAUGAUGGGG